AUUUCAACGUAAUUCAUUCAUUCUUUCAGAUCUGAGGUUCAAUUUUUUUUACCACUAAUGAUAUUUCAUAUUGCUUUAUUUGUUACUUGGAAAUUAUGUGCUCUUUUGUACCAAUUUGUUUUAUUUUAUUUGAGGACAUAACAUUUUGGUUCAGGCAGCAGAAAUACUGAAUGGCCACCUGCAAUAUGAAGUCAUCAAGACUGCGUUUCAGGAUGGUGGACUUUGCGCAAAAUAUGAGAUUGAGAAGGACUGUGCUAAAAACAGGGAACGGUUGAAUCACAACUCAUAGGCAGUUGCACGUCUUUUGAAGUGUGAUAUUUACAUAAAUGAAUGCAGGGUGGUUGCAGUAGGGAAUUCAGCUUCAGGAUUGAGGCCGUUCAGGUCAGUUGUGGAAUGCUGUUUUAUGAAAAACGAAGAUCCUGUAGCUGUUGCCAGGAGGUUAAAGCUGGAUCGUAAAGUGUCCCGAUUGAUGAAGAAAAUUCAAGCUUUGUGCUUGUGAAUGUAAUGGGCUGGUCUUGUACCAAAUAUUACCCCAAUGACUUGAAAGGAAGCAUUAACAUAUUUAUUGGACGUUAUGUAAUUUUAGCUCUUUCCAAAAUAAAAUUUACAGGCCACAUUUGAACA